GACGAACGCUGGCGGCGUGCCUAAUACAUGCAAGUGGGACGCAAGGAAACACACUGUGCUUGCACACCGUGUUUUCUUGAGUCGCGAACGGGUGAGUAACGCGUAGGUAACCUGCCUAUUAGCGGGGGAUAACUAUUGGAAACGAUAGCUAAUACCGCAUAAUAUUAAUUAUUGCAUGAUAAUUGAUUGAAAGAUGCAAGCGCAUCACUAGUAGAUGGACCUGCGUUGUAUUAGCUAGUUGGUAAGGUAAGAGCUUACCAAGGCGACGAUACAUAGCCGACCUGGGAGGGUGAUCGGCCACACUGGGACUGAGACACGGCCCAGACUCCUACGGGAGGCAGCAGUAGGGAAUCUUCGGCAAUGGACGAAAGUCUGACCGAGCAACGCCGCGUGAGUGAAGAAGGUUUUCGGAUCGUAAAGCUCUGUUGUAAGUCAAGAACGUGUGUGAGAGUGGAAAGUUCACACAGUGACGGUAGCUUACCAGAAAGGGACGGCUAACUACGUG
rnacentral:rRNA from 1 species